AGAGUUUGAUCAUGGCUCAGAGCGAACGCUGGCGGCAUGCCUAACACAUGCAAGUCGCGCGGUCAGCAAUGGCAGCGGCGGACGGGUGCGUAACGCGUAGGAACGUGUCUAGAGGUGGGGGACAACCCUGGGAAACUGGGGCUAAUACCGCAUAUGGGCUGAGGCCCAAAGCCGUGAGGCGCCUUUGGAGCGGCCUGCGUCCGAUUAGCUAGUUGGUGGGGUAAAGGCCUACCAAGGCUCCGAUCGGUAGCUGGUCUGAGAGGACGAUCAGCCACACUGGGACUGAGACACGGCCCAGACUCCUACGGGAGGCAGCAGUGGGGAAUAUUGGACAAUGGGCGCAAGCCUGAUCCAGCAAUGCCGCGUGGGUGAAGAAGGUCUUCGGAUCGUAAAGCCCUUUCGACAGGGACGAUGAUGACGGUACCUGUAGAAGAAGCCCCGGCUAACUUCGUGCCAGCAGCCGCGGUAAUACGAAGGGGGCUAGCGUUGCUCGGAAUUACUGGGCGUAAAGGGCGCGUAGGCGGCUUAGUCAGUCAGGCGUGAAAUUCCUGGGCUUAACCUGGGGUCUGCGUUUGAGACGGCUAUGCUAGAGGGUAGGAGAGGGUCGUGGAAUUCCCAGUGUAGAGGUGAAAUUCGUAGAUAUUGGGAAGAACACCGGUGGCGAAGGCGGCGACCUGGCCUAUUACUGACGCUGAGGCGCGACAGCGUGGGGAGCAAACAGGAUUAGAUACCCUGGUAGUCACGCCGUAAACGAUGUGCGCUGGAUGUUGGGGCCCAUAGGGUCUCAGUGUCGUAGCUAACGCGGUAAGCGCACCGCCUGGGGAGUACGGCCGCAAGGUUGAAACUCAA
rnacentral:rRNA from 1 species